rnacentral:rRNA from 1 species
UACGUAGGGUGCGAGCGUUGUCCGGAAUUAUUGGGCGUAAAGGGCUCGUAGGCGGUCUGUCACGUCGGGAGUGAAAACCUGCGGCUUAACCGCAGGCCUGCUUCCGAUACGGGCGAGCUAGAGUUCGGCAGGGGAGACUGGAAUUCCUGGUGUAGCGGUGGAAUGCGCAGAUAUCAGGAGGAACACCGGUGGCGAAGGCGGGUCUCUGGGCCGAUACUGACACUGAGAAGCGAAAGCGUGGGGAGCGAACAGG